rnacentral:lncRNA from 1 species
CUCGAUUCAAGUGUCCGCCACUUUGAAAAAUUGUGAAGAGAGCAGCAAAGUUAUUUGUCUUGCCCCGAUUUCCCGUAACAAAUAACAAUAAAAUGGAACUCUAGAAAAAAUUGUGGCUCACCUACCAGCUAACACAAUACAUAAAUUCCUGUACAUUUCCUCUAUCUCUCUAUAAAUAGAACUAAACUUUUUCACUCAACCACAAAACCAUUGACUCUUUCUUCAUACCUUUUGAGCUAAUUCCACAAGUUUUAGAUAGAAAAAAAAAAUGCAGGCAUCUAAAGUUGCAGUGUUUUCAAUAGUACUUGUGCUUCUGGUCUGUGUAGCACAAUUUUCAGAGGGUGCAACGUGCACCCCAACUGCACUCAGCCCUUGCAUGUCUGCCAUCUCGUCGGGAACUCCCCCGUCGAAACUGUGCUGCAGUAAGAUCAAGGAGCAGCAGCCUUGCCUUUGCCAGUAUCUCAAGGAUCCCAAUUUAAGGAAGUUUGUUAACUCUCCAAAUGCAAAGAAAAUUGCUUCCACUUGUGGGGUUCCUCAGCCCAAAUGUAAAUGAUUUUCAAGGCCCUUAUUUCCAAUUUCCAUAAAGAGUGAGUAAAUGAGAAUAACGUUGCAACUUUUGUUUGUCUACCUAACUAGCUGCACUAUCGAAUAAGUCUAGGUAUUGACUGGUUCAGUCUCACUGAACUGGGGUGCUCAAGAUUUGUACUGAAUGUACUAAUAUUUCUAUUAUAAUCGAGACAAAUUGAAAUGGGAUUUUCUAGUUGUUCUUUCUAUAUUUUCUCAACCUUACGAUUCAUUGGAGAAUGUAAUAGUUGAUGAUACCAAAAAUAGACAGGCAAUAUUAACCUCCCACGGUUAAUUACUCACAUAAUCUUCUCCAUA